rnacentral:snRNA from 3 species
AUACCUUUCUCGGCCUUUUGGCUAAGAUCAAGUGUAGUAUCUGUUCUUAUCAGUUUAAUAUCUGAUAUGUGGGUCAUUGGUCCACACGAUAUUAAAUUACUUUUUUAAAGGGGAGAGGCCAAGACAGUAGCUUGCUACUGGGUCUCUCAUGUGUCGCCCAUGCGUUGCACUAUAGCUUUGGGCUUGGCACUCCCUCC